rnacentral:rRNA from 1 species
GGGUUGUGAGGUUAAGCGACUAAGCGUACACGGUGGAUGCCCUGGCAGUCAGAGGCGAUGAAGGACGUGCUAAUCUGCGAUAAGCGUCGGUAAGGUGAUAUGAACCGUUAUAACCGGCGAUUUCCGAAUGGGGAAACCCAGUGUGUUUCGACACACUAUCAUUAACUGAAUCCAUAGGUUAAUGAGGCGAACCGGGGGAACUGAAACAUCUAAGUACCCCGAGGAAAAGAAAUCAACCGAGAUUCCCCCAGUAGCGGCGAGCGAACGGGGAGCAGCCCAGAGCCUGAAUCAGUGUGUGUGUUAGUGGAAGCGUCUGGAAAGGCGCGCGAUACAGGGUGACAGCCCCGUACACAAAAAUGCACAUACUGUGAGCUCGAUGAGUAGGGCGGGACACGUGGUAUCCUGUCUGAAUAUGGGGGGACCAUCCUCCAAGGCUAAAUACUCCUGACUGACCGAUAGUGAACCAGUACCGUGAGGGAAAGGCGAAAAGAACCCCGGCGAGGGGAGUGAAAAAGAACCUGAAACCGUGUACGUACAAGCAGUGGGAGCACGCUUCGGCGUGUGACUGCGUACCUUUUGUAUAAUGGGUCAGCGACUUAUAUUCUGUAGCAAGGUUAACCGAAUAGGGGAGCCGAAGGGAAACCGAGUCUUAACUGGGCGUUAAGUUGCAGGGUAUAGACCCGAAACCCGGUGAUCUAGCCAUGGGCAGGUUGAAGGUUGGGUAACACUAACUGGAGGACCGAACCGACUAAUGUUGAAAAAUUAGCGGAUGACUUGUGGCUGGGGGUGAAAGGCCAAUCAAACCGGGAGAUAGCUGGUUCUCCCCGAAAGCUAUUUAGGUAGCGCCUCGUGAAUUCAUCUCCGGGGGUAGAGCACUGUUUCGGCAAGGGGGUCAUCCCGACUUACCAACCCGAUGCAAACUGCGAAUACCGGAGAAUGUUAUCACGGGAGACACACGGCGGGUGCUAACGUCCGUCGUGAAGAGGGAAACAACCCAGACCGCCAGCUAAGGUCCCAAAGUCAUGGUUAAGUGGGAAACGAUGUGGGAAGGCCCAGACAGCCAGGAUGUUGGCUUAGAAGCAGCCAUCAUUUAAAGAAAGCGUAAUAGCUCACUGGUCGAGUCGGCCUGCGCGGAAGAUGUAACGGGGCUAAACCAUGCACCGAAGCUGCGGCAGCGACACUAUGUGUUGUUGGGUAGGGGAGCGUUCUGUAAGCCUGUGAAGGUGUGCUGUGAGGCAUGCUGGAGGUAUCAGAAGUGCGAAUGCUGACAUAAGUAACGAUAAAGCGGGUGAAAAGCCCGCUCGCCGGAAGACCAAGGGUUCCUGUCCAACGUUAAUCGGGGCAGGGUGAGUCGACCCCUAAGGCGAGGCCGAAAGGCGUAGUCGAUGGGAAACAGGUUAAUAUUCCUGUACUUGGUGUUACUGCGAAGGGGGGACGGAGAAGGCUAUGUUGGCCGGGCGACGGUUGUCCCGGUUUAAGCGUGUAGGCUGGUUUUCCAGGCAAAUCCGGAAAAUCAAGGCUGAGGCGUGAUGACGAGGCACUACGGUGCUGAAGCAACAAAUGCCCUGCUUCCAGGAAAAGCCUCUAAGCAUCAGGUAACAUUAAAUCGUACCCCAAACCGACACAGGUGGUCAGGUAGAGAAUACCAAGGCGCUUGAGAGAACUCGGGUGAAGGAACUAGGCAAAAUGGUGCCGUAACUUCGGGAGAAGGCACGCUGAUAUGUAGGUGAAGUCCCUCGCGGAUGGAGCUGAAAUCAGUCGAAGAUACCAGCUGGCUGCAACUGUUUAUUAAAAACACAGCACUGUGCAAACACGAAAGUGGACGUAUACGGUGUGACGCCUGCCCGGUGCCGGAAGGUUAAUUGAUGGGGUUAGCGGUAACGCGAAGCUCUUGAUCGAAGCCCCGGUAAACGGCGGCCGUAACUAUAACGGUCCUAAGGUAGCGAAAUUCCUUGUCGGGUAAGUUCCGACCUGCACGAAUGGCGUAAUGAUGGCCAGGCUGUCUCCACCCGAGACUCAGUGAAAUUGAACUCGCUGUGAAGAUGCAGUGUACCCGCGGCAAGACGGAAAGACCCCGUGAACCUUUACUAUAGCUUGACACUGAACAUUGAGCCUUGAUGUGUAGGAUAGGUGGGAGGCUUUGAAGUGUGGACGCCAGUCUGCAUGGAGCCGACCUUGAAAUACCACCCUUUAAUGUUUGAUGUUCUAACGUUGACCCGUGAUCCGGGUUGCGGACAGUGUCUGGUGGGUAGUUUGACUGGGGCGGUCUCCUCCUAAAGAGUAACGGAGGAGCACGAAGGUUGGCUAAUCCUGGUCGGACAUCAGGAGGUUAGUGCAAUGGCAUAAGCCAGCUUGACUGCGAGCGUGACGGCGCGAGCAGGUGCGAAAGCAGGUCAUAGUGAUCCGGUGGUUCUGAAUGGAAGGGCCAUCGCUCAACGGAUAAAAGGUACUCCGGGGAUAACAGGCUGAUACCGCCCAAGAGUUCAUAUCGACGGCGGUGUUUGGCACCUCGAUGUCGGCUCAUCACAUCCUGGGGCUGAAGUAGGUCCCAAGGGUAUGGCUGUUCGCCAUUUAAAGUGGUACGCGAGCUGGGUUUAGAACGUCGUGAGACAGUUCGGUCCCUAUCUGCCGUGGGCGCUGGAGAACUGAGGGGGGCUGCUCCUAGUACGAGAGGACCGGAGUGGACGCAUCACUGGUGUUCGGGUUGUCAUGCCAAUGGCACUGCCCGGUAGCUAAAUGCGGAAGAGAUAAGUGCUGAAAGCAUCUAAGCACGAAACUUGCCCCGAGAUGAGUUCUCCCUGAC